AUCACGGUGCGUCAGUGGGCAACGAUUUCUUCCGUUCAAGCGGAUCUUCCGAUCGCUGGUGAAACGGUGCGGAAAAAAUGUUUGUUUAACGUCACUGAUCCCUGCAUGUUCGUCGCGUAUUAGUCGAACUGGACGUGACUUCGAUCGAUGGUAACGAGCGGCGGAUCGAGCACACUUUUAACGAUGGCGCUGUGCAUCCACGAGGCUAGUCGGAAACGAAAAAUCGAACAGUGGUGUUAAGAGAACGACGAACGAGGGAGCACGCGCCUUCGGUGAUUGUCUCUUUUGUCGGCAAGUUUCGCGCAGAACGAAUACGAAGCCAAAGCCGU